UGGACCGGGCCUUGCCCUCGGCCACACCUCGAACCAUCACCCUUCCUUCGAUGUUCAAAGUUCAAACACCAGCUUCACCACAGCCAACGGUACCAAAAAUAGCAGGAUGCUUGCGUGCGUUUUCUUCUCUAAAUAUCCGCAAAUGCUAUCACGCUCUCGCUUCAUAAAUCCACGGCGGUCUCUUCUUCAGCUAUUCACCGCCGCUCAUCGCUUCUCCAAGAAACUAAAUUUCUCCUCCUCUCCCGCUCCAGAGGUACUGUUAAAUCAUCUAGACGAGGAAUGCGUUGAUUUUUUGCCGUGGUUGGAAAGGAAAGCUGGAGUCGAAAUUUCUUCAAAGCUUUACGUUGGCAAAUCCGCGUACGGCAGGUCACUGUUUGCUUCUAAAAGCAUACAAACUGGAGAAUGCAUAAUGAGAGUCCCAUACAACGUGCAAAUAGCACCAGAUAAUCUACUUCCGAAAGUUGCAUCUUUGUUAGACAAUGAAGUUGGCAAUGUUGCAAAGCUUGCUAUUGUCAUUUUGAUUGAGCAGAAAAGAGGGCAGGAAUCGGAGUGGGCCCCUUAUAUCAGCUGCCUACCUUGGCCUAGAGAAAUGCAUAGCACGAUAUUUUGGAGCAAAAGUGAGUUGGACAUGAUUCAUCAAAGCACAGUAUACCAAGAAACAAUCAAAGAAAAAUAUCAAAUCGAAAAGGAUUUCUUGAAAAUUAAAUCAGCUCUCGAUCACUCCCCAGAAAUUUUAGAUGGUAUCACACUUGAGGAUUUCAUGCAUGCAUAUGCUUUAGUUAGAUCUCGAGCAUGGGGAAGCACAAGGGGGGUAUCCCUGAUUCCAUUUGCAGACUUUUCAAACCACGAUGGGGUUUCUGAAGCAUUCGUAUUAAAUGAUGAAGACAAACAGGUCUCAGAGGUCAUUGCUGAUCGUAAUUUUGCUCCUCAUGAAGAGGUGCUGAUCAGAUAUGGAAAAUUUUCAAAUGCUACCUUGCUGUUGGAAUUCGGAUUUAUAGUUCCACACAACAUCCAUGACCAGGUCCAGAUUCACAUUGACGUGCCCAAUCAUGAUUUUCUAGGUGAAAUGAAGUUGGAUAUUUUACGAAGGCAUCAUUUACCAACCACAAGAUAUGCUAAUGACUUCAAGUUUUCUGGGGAUUCUUUCAUAAUCAAGGAAGUGAGGUCCGCUAGAGGCAAAGGAAAAGGUCUGCCACAAUCACUACGUGCAUUUGCUCGUGUUCUUUGUUGCAACUCUUCUCAAGAUUUAAUUGAUUUGGCCAUGGAAGCUGCACAAAAUGAUGGUCGUUUAGCUCGACGCCCUUUAAAAAAUAGCAGCAGGGAGAUCCAAGCACAUGAGAUCCUGUUGUCAAGAAUCAGUCAACUUAUUGAGGAAUAUAAUGUAUCUAUGAAGGUGAACAUGCUUAUCUUCCCCUCAUUGAUUGAUUGGAGCUGCAGGUUUAAUUUUACUGUAAAGAGUCAAGAGCAGGUAUUGAAGUUUUCAAAUGGGUGAAGCAUCGGUUUUUGUCGGCUCAGCUCCCAUGGCAAUUGGUUCUUAAUACAAGUUGCCAGGAUAUUGACUGUUUCCUAACAUGUUAAUAAAAAAAAUACAUGAUAGAUAUUUGGUUGGUAAGUGGACAGUAAUCUCAUGUCGCAUGUUAUUUGCACAGCUAUUCCUUCAUCAAUUCGUUAUGCCCCUCCAUUCGUAUCCCCUUUUACAUUUUCAGCCAUUACUUGCUUGUUAUGGUAUCUGGAACAAUUUUUUUUCCUUUACGGGCUUUUUUCAUUUGUUUUAAGCCUUUUCAUGCACUGUACAGUCAUUGGAACCUGUUGCUGCUUCUGUGUGCAAAAGAUUUGCUCUUCGAAGGCAGAUGGCUCUAGAUCUCCUCACUGCAUUCCACUACCAAUGAUGAUGCCAGUGCCUGUGGGAAUAUUCGGGAAUGAACAAGUAAAUAAGAGCAGAAUGUUCAUUUUCUUCGUCACAUCCUGGUACAUGUAAAUUCAUUCAGAACUGCAAGAAGGAAAUUCAGAAAGAAACCAGUUUUUAAAGCUAGACUGACGUAGAAGUGCCCUUCCUGGGUGUUUACAAACCUGCAGCGUUAUGCCGGAAAUCCCGAUUGCAAUGAAGAUAGUGCAAAGUACAUCGGUUUUUUGCAACGUAGGAUGCCAGUAAAAUUUAGAAUCGACUUGUACUACAGCUAAGGUAAUGCUGUUGUGUCCAUAGCAAUCACAGGAUUUCGUUAGUGCUGCCCAUUUAUUACGAUAUUUGAAGCCGAAGCAUCCUGCAUUCACCCUUUUCUUUCGUUCUUUCUUUUUUGUGUGUGUAAUUAUGUGUUAGUUAUCAGAAUACAGAAUUAUUAUUGUUUCCAAACAAUUUGUUAUGUGCUGUAGGCCACCGGUAACUUGAUGACAGGUGGAACUUGGGCCUUUUUUUAAUUGAAGACCUGAACGGCAUA